GAUCGCGUGGCUGUCACAGCAGCUGUUUUACAGCAGCUACAUGCGGCUGAAACCACAGAAGAAAACUAUGUGUAUAUGUAAUAAGUGCGUUAGUGUCUGUAACAGUUGUUAGUGGAAUAGUAAUACGAUAGAAGCAGAUGAAAAAAUUUGCUGAGAAAAUAGAGUUUCGUGAAAAUACAGAACAUAAAAAUAUAAUAACUUUGUGUUUUUUGUGUCGAAUUCAUAAGAGAGAGAAAUAUCGCACAAUAAUUUGUUCUUGCUUCUGUAGUCCAGCUAUACACUAGAAUAGAAUAAAUUUGUAAUUAUAGUAGAAGAGUAAAGUCUGACGUAGGCGUCUGAGCAGGCGCUGGAAUUCGAAAAUCUCAUUAAAAAAAAAUGAAACCAAAGCAAGAAUAAUAUCACAAGACAAUGGAGACAGAACAAAAUAGGACAGCUAGAUAUUCUUGUGUAAUAUGUCGGAAGCAUUUUAUAUCAAUCAUAGAGUUGGUUCGUCACAAAAAUGCUCAUUCUAACGAACUGCAUAUAUGUUUUACAUGUGGAAGAUCUUUCAUAUGUUCGCACCUUCUGAAAAUCCAUUCAAGAAGCAUUCACAGAAUAACUUAUGCGUGCAACGUGUGUGGGAGAGGUUUUACUACGUUUUCUGCUCUUAAUCGGCACAGACAAGUUCACUUUCAAGUGGAACACAAAUGUAAUUUUUGUAACAACAGUUUCAAAUAUUGGGAGUACUUGAAAGAACAUUUGAAUAUCUGUGUAGCUCGUAGUGAGAAAGAUUGACAAUGUACUCUUCGUAAUAUAAGUUUCAGUUACCAGAAAAAUUUUUUACGAACAUAAUUUUA